AAUUUUAUAGUUUAAAUAAAACUCUAGUCUUGUAAACUAAAUAUGCUUAAGUGCUAAAAUUU
rnacentral:tRNA from 1 species